rnacentral:rRNA from 1 species
GUAGCGGNGAAAUGCGUAGAUAUAUGGAGGAACACCGGNGGCGAAAGCGGCUCUCUGGCUNGUAACUGACGCUGAGGCUCGAAAGCGUAGGGAGCAAACAGGAUUAGAUACCCUGGUAGUCCACGCCGUAAACGAUGAGUGCUAGGUGUUAGACCCUUUCCGGGGUUUAGUGCCGCAGCUAACGCAUUAAGCACUCCGCCUGGGGAGUACGACCGCAAGGUUGAAACUCAAAGGAAUUGACGGGGGCCCGCACAAGCGGUGGAGCAUGUGGUUUAAUUNGAAGCAACGCGAAGAACCUUACCAGGUCUUGACAUCCCUCUGACCGCUCUAGAGAUAGAGUUUUCCUUCGGGACAGAGGUGACAGGUGGUGCAUGGUUGUCGUCAGCUCGUGUCGUGAGAUGUUGGGUUAAGUNNNNNNACGAGCGCAACCCCUAUUGUUAGUUGCCAUCAUUUAGUUGGGCACUCUAGCGAGACUGCCGGUAAUAAACCGGAGGAAGGUGGGGAUGACGUCAAAUCAUCAUGCCCCUUAUGACCUGGGCUACACACGUGCUACAAUGGCUGGUACAACGAGUCGCAAGCCGGUGACGGCAAGCUAAUCUCUUAAAGCCAGUCUCAGUUCGGAUUGUAGGCUGCAACUCG